rnacentral:snRNA from 1 species
AGCUUUGCGCAGUGGCAGUAUCAUAGCCAAUGAGGUUUAUCUGAGGUGGUUAUUGCUAAUUAAAAGUGCCUAAUAGAGCUGGGCAUGGUGGCGCACACCUGUGAACCCAGCACUUGGGAGGCUGAGGCAGG